CUGCCCAGGGUAAGUCGGGACCUAAGGCGAGGCCGACAGGCGUAGUCGAUGGAUAACCGGUUGAUAUUCCGGUACCCGCUGUGAAGCGUCAAACAUCGAAUCAGGCGAUGCUAAGUCCGUGAAGCCGCCCUGGAGCCUUCGGGCAAAGGGGAGUGGUGGAGCCGACGGACCAGACUUGUAGUAGGUGAGUGAUGGGGUGACGCAGGAAGGUAGUCCAGCCCGGGCGGUGGUUGUCCCGGGGUAAGGGUGUAGCCCGUCAUCUAGGCAAAUCCGGAUGACAUGUGGGUGAGACCUGAUGCCGAGCCGAUUGUGGUGAAGUGGAUGAUCCUAUGCUGUCGAGAAAAGCCUCUAGCGAGUUUCAUGGCGGCCCGUACCCUAAACCGAC
rnacentral:ncRNA from 1 species